CAGUCGCCACGGUAACACGUAGGUGGCAAGCGUUGUCCGGAAUUAUUGGGCGUAAAGGGCUCGCAGGCGGUUUCUUAAGUCUGAUGUGAAAGCCCCCGGCUCAACCGGGGAGGGUCAUUGGAAACUGGGAAACUUGAGUGCAGAAGAGGAGAGUGGAAUUCCACGUGUAGCGGUGAAAUGCGUAGAGAUGUGGAGGAACACCAGUGGCGAAGGCGACUCUCUGGUCUGUAACUGACGCUGAGGAGCGAAAGCGUGGGGAGCGAACAGGAUUAGAUACCCCGGUAGUCCCUGUCUCUUAUAC
rnacentral:rRNA from 1 species